GACGAACGCUGGCGGCGUGCCUAAUACAUGCAAGUCGAACGCAGUUGCGAACGGGUGAGUAACGCGUAGGUCACUGCCUGGUAUCGGGGGAUAACUAUUGGAAACGAUAGCUAAUACCGCAUACUACCAGAUGGCCCUGCGUUGUAUUCGCUAGUUGGUGGGGUAACGGCUCACAAAGGCAACGGUACAUAGCCGGCCUGGGGGGGGGAGAGGCCAAACUGGGACUGAGAAACGGGGCCGACUCCCACGGGAGGCAGCAGGAGGGAAUCUUCGGAAAUGGGGGGAAGCCUGAACGAGCAACGCCGCGGGGGUGAAGGAGGGUUGCGGGUCGGAAAGCUCUGUUGUUAAGGAAGCGGUACUUAACCAGAAAGGGACGGCUAACUACGUGCCAGCAGCCGCGGUAAUUC
rnacentral:rRNA from 1 species